rnacentral:rRNA from 1 species
AUUGAACGCUGGCGGCAGGCCUAACACAUGCAAGUCGAGCGCGAAAGGUCUUCGGACUGAGUAGAGCGGCGGACGGGUGAGUAACGCGUAGGAAUCUACCUAGUAGUGGGGGACAACUCGGGGAAACUCGAGCUAAUACCGCAUACGCCCUAAGGGGGAAAGCGGGGGAUCUUCGGACCUCGCGCUAUUGGAUGAGCCUGCGUUGGAUUAGCUAGUUGGUGGGGUAAAGGCCCACCAAGGCGACGAUCCAUAGCUGGUCUGAGAGGAUGAUCAGCCACACCGGGACUAAGACACGGCCCGG